rnacentral:piRNA from 1 species
UGUGUUGGUGUGGGUCACAUAUGCACA